CGUGUAGGCGGCUUGGUAAGUCAGAUGUGAAAGCCCUGGGCUUAACCCAGGAAGUGCAUUUGAAACUGUCAGGCUUGAGUAGGGGAGAGGAAGGUGGAAUUCCUGGUGUAGAGGUGAAAUUCGUAGAUAUCAGGAGGAACACCGGUGGCGAAGGCGACCUUCUGGCCCUAUACUGACGCUGAGACGCGAAAGCGUAGGUAGCAAACAG
rnacentral:rRNA from 1 species